UUUAUGAGGCUACUUGGGUGAUUAGAGCGAGCCAUGCUUUACUAUCUCCACGUGACAACAAGCCCAAAAGGACGAGGCUAA